AUUGAACGCUGGCGGCAUGCCUUACACAUGCAAGUCGAACGGCAGCACGGGGCAACCUGGUGGCGAGUGGCGAACGGGUGAGUAAUGCAUCGGAACGUACCUUUCAGUGGGGGAUAACGUAGCGAAAGUUACGCUAAUACCGCAUAUUCUGUGAGCAGGAAAGCAGGGGAUCGCAAGACCUUGCGCUGAUUGAGCGGCCGAUGUCAGAUUAGCUCGUUGGUGAGGUAAAGGCUCACCAAGGCGACGAUCUGGAGCGGGUCUGAGAGGAUGAUCCGCCACACUGGAACUGAGACACGGUCCAGACUCCUACGGGAGGCAGCAGUGGGGAAUUUUGGACAAUGGGGGCAACCCUGAUCCAGCCAUGCCGCGUGAGUGAAGAAGGCCUUCGGGUUGUAAAGCUCUUUCGGCCGGGAAGAAAUCGCACGGGCUAAUACCCUGUGUGGAUGACGGUACCGGAAUAAGAAGCACCGGCUAACUACGUGCCAGCCGCCGCCGUAAUAC
rnacentral:rRNA from 1 species